UUAAAAAGUUCGUAUCAGAUAUACGCGUGUAUUCGCCUGUAUUCACCGACUUGGAAGAAUUCGCUAAUUUAACGAUAUCUUUCAGAGAUAUGGCCAACACUCGUCUUAAUUAUUAAUGUGAAACUUCUCUCGAUUCACUCUCUCGAGUUUACCCACUUUUUGCUCUAAUAAAGUCGCCCAGGUUUUAUCUGGAAAUUUUCACCGUAAGCUCUAACCCGACCAACGAGAGAAAAUCGAACGAACACGAAUGAUAAAUUCGUCCUACUCGAUUAAAUCCACAAAUCCAAUUAGUAAGACUGAUCCGAUUUCUGCGUUUAAUUAAGACAUCAGUCUGUUGCGUCUUGCUUCUGAUUUGAUUAAGUACGUGAAAACAUAUCGCGUUAGAACGAUGGACAAACAUUUUACGGAGAACAGAUGCAUUUAGAAAGUAGAAUAUGUAAAUCGGGCACUAAUCUAACACGCUAACCAUUAUGGAUUAGGUGUAGCUACUCUAUAGCUCGUGUUAUGCGCUUCUUCUUUCACAGAAUACGUCAUUAAUUCCAUGAAUAUUGAUGAUGCUUUUUUAGUGCGUCUUGGUUUCUGUGGAAAUUACAUAAUUGUUUACAUUGCAUAUGGAUUACAUUUCUUAAUGCAUCGUUAUCUAAUUGUAAUAGCAACGGCUAUGAUAAUAAGAUAACUGAAAUAUGGCAAUAAACGAUUAAAGGGCGCAGAAAAAAACCAAUUGAAGGAACAAAGAAUCAUCGCCACGUCAAUUAAGGAGAAAUUGUGUUAAGAAUAAAUCAAUCUCAUUCAUAGUUCGAUUUAGAAAAAAAAAAAAAAAGAAAAGAAUAUGAAAAUAAUCUUGCUCGAAAUUGAGAAAUGAUAAGUCAUAACAUGAUAACCUGAUAACCAUGAAUAACAACGUAUAAUAUAAUAUUUGACGAAGACUGAUAUACGCAACGUGGUGAUUAUCGUUUAACGAUUGAUUACAUCUUUGGAUGUCGAUCAAAAUUCUUUGAAAAUAAAUUGACAAGAUCAACGACUUGGCACAGAAAAAUAAAAUGCGACGCUAACAAUUGAAUUUGGGUCAGUUCACACCUCACACGCGAAACCUGUAAACCUUCGGAAGUAUGUACGUACUUAAUUUAUCUUUAAUCUUGAGAGGUUUGUAGCAUUCUAGAUAUUUACUACAUUGUUAACCAGCACAAACAUGCUUCUGUUUAUACGUACAUCAGUUUACACAAUUAUUAAUACCAAAACCAAAGAGUAAUAAAAAUAAGCAAUUUGCAAUUUUUUAAUAAUUCGAAUAAUUUCUUGCAAAUUGCUUGUUUAUAACGUAAACUUGUUUUCUCCCUCGCAUUAGCUUUAUAUUUUUUCACGUAUUUUUCAUCUUCAUUUCAUGUUGGUAAAAAUCGUGUACAUUGCCAUUAUGUUAUUGUUCAGUGUUAUAAAUUUUUGUUAUCCAAUUAUGCCAAUACCGGCACACGAUGAUUUCUACAUAGGAUAGCUGAUGAACAAUGUGCUAAAAUCUGCCGUCUGUUCGGAACAUGCCUUUCGUGUUCUUGCCAAUGCGCCACAAGGAAGUUCGAUUACGGAUUCGCGGGAAAUCGAUUUAAAACGUAUAGAAACAUUCAAAGACGAUGGUCGCGUGAUAUUUGCAGAAAUACUGAAACGUAGAAACGUCAUUCUGAUAAGCGUGGAAGCAUUCUGAGACGUACUUUCUUAACGAUGUACACGAUGUUAUUUAUACACGGUGAUCCAACAAUAACCAAUAACCACGCUUAUUAUUAUAGACAUGAAAAAAGAUCGAUAUUCGUCUCUUUUUUUUUCUCGCUUUAAUAAAAGAGAUGAGAGCAGGUGACAAACAAUUUCGUUUCUUGUGAAUCAUUCUGUACGUGAAACAACGUAAUUUACAAUCUUCACACUCGAAUGCAUCAAGAUUGCCGGCAGCAAUUACUCGAUUUCCUAACCGUAUGAAAUGAUGAGGACAUUUUCAUGAACCGUGGCAAACUGUCAAUUAUUAUUGUACUGUAAGCGCUUUUACUCGUUAAACCUACGGUAUAAAGUGAACGUGUUUGCUCGAGCUCACCGUACACGAAGCGUUCAAGCGAGUGAACCGAUGCAAUCACAAUAUCACAGGCAAUUCCAUUCGAAACUCGAGAGGCUCGUGCUCUCCUUAUUCGGCGUAUUCUUGACAUCAUCGAGACAACACAUAGAUACUAUCGCUAUGACUCAUUCCCAUCUGGACGCGAUGACAGAGAAAACCAGAGACAUUUCUCUUCUGAGGGGUGUGUCUCUUUUUCUCUCUCUCAUCCCUCUAUCAUCGUUCCAUUCUUUCGAGUGCCGUCUUCGACAUUGAUUUCGAUUUACAAGAAAACAGAACACAGUCUUUUGCUCGAUAAACUCUGUCCAAUAACAUUCGAUAGAAAACGGCGUGAAAAGUAAGAAACGUGAAACUAGGUCUAAGACAACGUAUUGCCUUCUUGCGGUCUGCUCGUCUACAUCGGAAGGAUUCGCCGGAAGACACUCACCGGACCUGACGAUCAACGGAGGAUACCUCUGGUCGAAAUUCUAAUAUUAGCGCAGCGCAUUCUCCAGUCGAUACUCUAGACUCUAGACAUCCACCACUACCACUGAUCUCCUCGCGAUGGCACGCGACACCAUAUCUGUAAGCGUGUGUACGUGUGAACGCACUACCACGAGCACGCGACGACAGAACACGAUGAUGCAAAAUCUAAGCGGCUCACCUUUCGAAAGAUACGCGAUUCUGACAAUCUGUUGGAAACGUUUACGGCUAGAGCACGUUCGGUAUGGAAUGAACCGUUUCUAGGUCGUAAAGGAUGAUCAACGAUGCCGCUGUCGUAACGUCGAACCGCGCACACGCCGCACGGGCAUUAUGCUACAAAGAUCACCAACUAUGGAAGUGGUGGGACACGAUUCCAUGGCACUGAAUGGUGCGACGGCGUGGCGCUAUCUGGAGUGACGUAUGAAUACUCGUUAAUCGAAUUGCUCAAUUGCUGAGUAGGUAAAAAGAGAGUAAGUUAUCGAUAGAUUGAAUUAAUAAACGAUUUCGCGUAGUGACGCACCCUUUGAAUUACUUUGAACAUUAUGCUCAAGAUUUUUUUUCGACUCGUUCAAAAUGUAUUAAGACUCGAGGUUUACAACUGGUCGAGACUUUCAAUAAUUUGAAGUCUCGAAUCAUGUUCGAAAUGAUUGAAAUUUUCAAAGAAUUUAAAAAAUUUCGAGUCACUCCAAAAUGAAGAAUCAAACCGUUAUCAGACACGUGACUGUCAAACGAAACGGAGAAAGAAAAAUGAUACAGAGACUGAAUAAUAUAAAAUAUCUUUGUUUUUGUGGCAUAUUACUAAAAGCUGGAAGUACUUCCUUAGAGUUGCAAUUUCUGUUUGAACGUGUGUACCUUAUGAUGUAUGAAUGGUAACCAUAUUUUUAAUCUUAACUGUAUUUUAAUCGGCACUUUCUCCUGGGUAGAAAUAACUACGUAUUAAGUCUGAUUUGAAUGCGAACGAAAUCUUUGUGUAUACUGAAUAAAAUUGGGAAAUA